UACGUAGGGUGCAAGCGUUGCCCGGAUUUAUUGGGCGUAAAGGGCGCGUAGGCGGCUCUGCACGUUCGUUGUGAAAUCGCCCGGCUCAACUGGGCGGGGUCAGCGGAUACGGCAGAGCUUGAGCAAGCUAGGGGGCAAUGGAAUUCCCGGUGUAGUGGUGGAAUGCGCAGAUAUCAGGAAGAACACCCGUGGCUAAGGCUGUUCUCUAGUACGGUACUGACGCUGAGACGCGAAAGCGUGGGGAGCGAACAGG
rnacentral:rRNA from 1 species